UACGAAGGGGGCUAGCGUUGCUCGGAAUGACUGGGCGUAAAGGGCGCGUAGGCGGAUUGCUUUGUCAGACGUGAAAUUCCAGGGCUCAACCUUGGGGCUGCGUUUGAGACGGGUGAUCUUGAGUUCGGAAGAGGGUCGUGGAAUUCCCAGUGUAGAGGUGAAAUUCGUAGAUACUGGGAAGAACACCGGUGGCGAAGGCGGCGACCUGGUCCGAGACUGACGCUGAGGCGCGAAAGCGUGGGGAGCAAACAGG
rnacentral:rRNA from 1 species